UACGGGGGGGGCAAGCGUUGUUCGGAAUUACUGGGCGUAAAGGGUUUGUAGGCGGCUUGUUAAGUCAGACGUGAAAUCCCUCAGCUUAACUGGGGAACUGCGUCUGAUACUGGUGAGCUUGAGUGCAGGAGAGGAAGGCGGAAUUCCAGGUGUAGCGGUGAAAUGCGUAGAUAUCUGGAGGAACGCCGGUGGCGAAGGCGGCGUUCUGGGCUGCAACUGACACUGUAACACGAAAGCCAGGGGAGCAAACGGG
rnacentral:rRNA from 1 species